UUUUGCGUUAAGUGUUUGGGUUAAUGUUAGGGUCAGGUUUAAGGUUAGGUUUAGGGUUAGGGUUAGUGUUUGGUUUAGGGUUAGGGUUAGGGUGAAGUUUAAGUUAAGGGUGAGUGUUGAGCUUAGGGUUAGUGUUGGGGUUAGGGUUAGGGUUAAGGUUAGAAUUAAGUUUAGGGUUAAGGUCAGGUUUAGAGUUAGGGUAAGUGUUAGGGUUAAGUCAUAGUUAGGUUUAGGACUAGUUUUUAGUUAGAGAUAGGGUUGGGUUCAGGGUUGGGGUUAGGUUUAGAUGUUAGGGUGAGGGAUAGUGCUAGGUUUCCAUUCAAACUGAGUGUGUAGGGUAAGUUUUAGGGUUAAAGUUAGAGUUAGAGUCAGGGUUAGGUUUAAGUUUAGUGUUGGGAUUAUGUUUAUGGUUAGGGUCAGGGUUGGGGAGAUUUAGUGUUUAGGGUUACAGUGAAUUUAUGUUCUGCGAGAGGGUUAGGGUUAGGGGUUUGGGUUCAGGUUAGAGUCAGGGUUAGGGUUAGGUUUAGGGUUAGGGUUAGGUUUAGUGUUAGUGUUAGUUUUGCUUAGGGUUAGGGUUUGAAUGAAGUUAGGGUAGGCUUAGUGUUAUGCUUAGGCUGAAAUUUUGGUUAAGGGUGAGGGUUCGGCUUAGGGUUAGGGUUAGAGUUAGGGUCAGUGGUUAGGGUUAGGUUUAGGGUUAAGGUUAGGUUUAGGCUAAGGAUUAGGGUUAGAGUUACGGUUAAGGGUUAGCAUUUCAGUUAGGUUUAGGUUAGGGUUAUAAUUAGGGUUAAGUUUAGGGUUAGGGUAAGAGUGAGAGUUACAUUUACAGUUAAGAUGAGGGUUUUGGGUAAGUGUUACAGUUAAGAUUAGGGUUAGGGCUAGGGUUAGGGUUAGAGUUAGGUUUAAGAUUAUGGUAGGCUUAAAGAUAGGGUUAAGGUUAGGUUAGGGUUAGGGUCAGGGUUAGGAUUAGAAUUAGGUUUAGGGUGAGGAUUAGGGUCAGAGUUAUUGUAAGGGUUAGGUUUCGGGUUACAGGUGGGCCAAGGUUAAGGUGAGGGUUAGGAUUAGGGGUAGGGUUAGGGUUAAAGUUAGGGCGAGUUUUAGGUUAGGGAUAGAGUGAAGUUUAGGACAGGGUGAGGGUUAGGGUUAUGGCUAAGGUUUGGGCUUGUUUUCAGGUUAGUGUUAAGGUUAUGUUCAGGGUUAGGGUUAAGUUCAUGGGUUGUGUUUAGUUUUAGGGUUAGGGUUAGUUUUAAGGUUAGGGUUAAGUUUAGUGUUACGGUUAGGGUAAGGGUUAUGGUUGUGUUAGGCGUUGUGGUUGGGGUGAGGGUUAGGUUUAGGGUUAGGGUUGGGUAGGGUGUGGAUUAUGGUUAUAGUAAGGUGUUCGAGUUAGAGGUGUAGUUUAGGAUUAGGUUUUGGGUGAGGGUUCCGGUUAGACCUUGUGGUUCUGGUCAUGGUUAGGUUUGGUUUAGGGUUAGGGUUAGGUUCAUGAUUUGGUUUCGGGUUAGUGUUAGAGUUAGGGUGAGAGUUAGUGUUAAGGUUUUUGCUAGGCUUUCGCUUUGGUGUUAGGAUUUGGGUUAGGGUUAGGGUUAUCAUUAGGGCUCAGGGGUUUCAGGUUAGUGUUAGGGUUACGGUUAGGGAUAGCAUUAGGGUUAGCGUUGUGGGAUACAGUUAGGGGUUAGGGUGAGGGUUACGGUUAGUUUUACAGUUAAGGUGAGGGUUUAGGGUAAGUGUUAUGAUUAGGGUUAGAGUUAGAGUUAGGGUUAGGUUUAGGGUUAGGGUUAGGUGUAGGGUAAGAAUUAGGUUUAGGUCCAUGUUGAGGGUUAGACUUAGUGUUCUAUUUAGGGUCAAGGUUAGAGUUAGGGUUAGGGUUAGGAUUAGGUCUAGGUUUAGGAUUAGGAUUAAGUUCAGGAUUAGGUUCAGGGCUAUUGUAAGUGUUCGGUUUAGGGUUAAAGAUGGACUAGCGUUAUUCUUAGAGUUAGGUUUAAGGUUAGGGUUUGGGUUAGGUCUAGGUUUAGGGUUAAGGUUAUGGUUAGUGUUUGGAUGAAGUUCAGGAUAGGGUGAGGGUUAUUUUUAUGGUGAGGGCUAGGGUUUGGGUUUGUGUUCAGGUUAGUGUUAAGGAUAGGUUUAGGGUUCGGUUAGGGUUAGGCAUUAUGUCUAGGGUCAGCGUUAGGUUAGCUUUAGGGUUAGUGUGAAGUUUAGGUUAAGGGUGAGGGUUAUGAUAAGGGUUAGGAUUAUAGACGGUGUUAGACGUUAGGUUUAGGGUGUUAGGGUUAGGUUUAUGGUUAGGGUAGAUUUAAGUUUAGGUUUAAUAUUAGGGUUAGGGUUAGAUUUGGGUUACUGUUCGUAUUAGGGUUAGGGUUAGGGAUAAGUUUGGGGAUAGCGUUAGGUUUAGGGUUGGGGAUACGGUUAAGGAUUAGGGUGAGGCUUAGGGUUAGGUUUACAGUUAAGGCGAGGGUUUAGGGUAAUUGUUAUGGUUAGGGUUAGAGUUAGAGUUAGGCUUAGGGUUAGGGUGAAGUUUCAGUUAAUAGUCAGGGUUAGGCUUAAGGUUAGAGUAGGGUUAAGGUUAGUGUUCGGGUUAGGUAUAGCCUUAGGGUUUGGGUAGGGGUAAGGUUAGGGUUAAGGCUAGGUUUACGGUAAAGGGUAGGGCUAGCUUAGGGCUAGAUUUAGAGUUGGAGUUAGUGCUAGGGUUUAGGAUGAUGGUUAUGGUCAGGUUUAGAGUUGUUGUUAGGGUUAGGGUAGAGUUAAGGUUAGGGUUAAUUUAGGGUUAGAGAAAGGGUUAGGUUUAGGUCUGGGUUAGGUGUAGGAUGCGGGGUAGGGUCAGGGUUAGGGGUUCAUGGGAGGGUUAGUGUUAAGUUUACAUUAAGCUGAUGUUUUAGGGUGUUACUGUUAGGGCUAGGGUUAGCAUUAGGUUUAGGGUCAGGGCUAGAGUUAGGGGAUAGUUAAGGCUUAGCUUUACUUUCAGGGUUAGGGUUAGCCUUAGGUUUAGGGUGAAGUUUAGGUUAAGGAUGAGGGUUAGGGUUAGGGUUAGGCAUUUGGGUUAAGGUUAGGGUUAGGUUUAGGAUUAGGCUUAGGGUUAGGGUUAGGUGUUUGGGUUAAUGUUAGGGUCAGGUUUAGGGUUCGGCUUAGGGUUAGGGCUACAGCUGGGGUAAAGUUUAAUUGAAGGGUGAGGGUUGAGCUUAGGGUUAGCGUUAGGGGUUAGGGUUAGAGCUUAGGUUAGGAUUAAGUGUAGGGUUAGGGUUAGGUUUAGAUUUAGGGUUAGGGUUAGUGUUAGGGUUAAGUCAUGUUUAGGUUUAGGGCUAGGUGAAGGUUAUAGAUAGGGUUAGGUUAAGGGUUGAGGUUAGGUUUAGAUGGUAAGAUGAGGGUUAGUGCUAGGUUUCCAUUGAAGCUGAGUGUGUAGGGUAAGUUUUAGGGUUAGGAUUAGGGUUAGAGUUAGGGUUAGGGUCAGGGUUAGUUUUGAGUUUAGAGUUAGGGUUACGUUUAUGGUACGGUCAGGGUUAGGGGAGAUUUAGUGUUACGUUUAGUUUUAGGGCUAGGGUUACAGAGAAGUUUAUGUUAAGCGAGAGGGUUGGGGUUAGGGGUUUGGGUUCAGGUCAGAGUCAGGGUUAGGGUUAGGUUUAGGGUUAGGGUUACGUGUAGUGUUAGUGUUAGUUUUGCUUAGGGUUCGGGUUUGAAUGAAGUGAGGGUACGCUUAGCGUUAUGCUUUAGGGUGAAAUUCUGGUUAAGGGUGAGGGUUCGGCUCAGGGUUAGGGUUAGAGUUAGGGUCAGUGGUUAGGGUUAGGUUUAGGGUUAAGGUUAGUUUUAGGCUAAGGAUUAGGAUUAGAGUUAGGGUUAAGGGUUACUGUUUCAGUUAGGUUUAGGUUAAGGUUAUAAUUAGGGUUAAGUUUAGGGUUAGGGUAAGAGUUAGAGUUACAUUUACAGUUAAGGUGAGGGUUCUGGGUAAGUGUUACCGUUAAGGUUAGAGUUAGGGCUAGGGUUAGGGUUAGAGUUAAGGUUAAGGGUUAGGGUUAGGUUUAAGUUUAUGGUAGGCUUAAAGAUAGGGUUAAGGUUAGGUUAGGGUUAGGGUUAGGGUCAGGGUUAGAAUUAGAAUUAGGUUUAGGGCGAGGAUUAGGGUCAGAGUUAUUGUAAGGGUUAGGUUUCGGGUUACAGGUGGGCCAAGGUUAAGGUGAGGGUUAGGUUUAUGGGGAGCGUUAGGGUUAAAGUCAGGGUGAGUUUUAGGUUAGGGAUAGGGUGAAGUUUAAGAUAGGGUGAGGGUUAGGGUUAUGGCUAAGGUUUGGGCUUGUUUUCAGGUUAGUGUUAAGGUUAUGUUCAGGGUUAGGGUUACGUUCAGGGGUUGUGUUCAGUUUUAGGGUUAGGGUUAGAUUUAAGGUUAGGGUUAAGUUUAGUGUUACGUUUAGGGUUAGGGUCAUGGUUGUGUUAGGCUUUGUGGUUGGGGUGAGGGUUAGUUUUAGGGUUAGGGUUGGUUAGGGUUAGGAUUACCGUUAUGAUAAGGCGUUAGGGGUUAGAGGUGUAGUUUAGGGUUAGGGUUUGGGUGAGGGUUCCGGUUAGGCCUUGCGGUUCUGGUCAUGGUUAGGUUUGGUUUAGGCUUAGGGUUAGGUGCAUGAUUCGGUUUCGGGUUAGUGUUAGAGUUAGGGUGAGAGUUAGUGUUAAGGUUUUUGCUAGGCUUUGGUGUUAGGGUUAGGGUUUGUGUUAGGGUUAGGUUUAUCAUUAGGGCUCAGGGGUUUCAGGUUAAUGUUAGGGUUAGGGUUAGGGAUAGCAUUAGGGUUAGGGUUGUGGGAUACGGUUAGGAUUUAGGGUGCGGGUUACGGUUAGUUUUCCAGUUAAGGUGAGGGUUUAGGGUAAUUGUUACGAUUAGGGUUAUAGUCAGAGUUAGGGUUUGGUUUAGGAUUAGGGUUAGGUGUAGGGUAAGAAUUAGGUUUAGGUCCAUGUUGAGGGUUAGACUUAGUGUUCUAUUUAGGGUAAAGGUUAGGGGUAGGGUUAGGAUUAGGUCUAGGGUUAGGAUUAGGAUUAUUUUAGGGUUAGGUUCAGGGCUAUUGUAAGUGUUCGGUUUAGGGUUACAGAUGGACUAGCGUUAUUCUUAGAGUUAGGUUUAAGGUUAGGGUUUGGGUUAGGUCUAGGUUUAGGGUUAAGGUUAUGGUUAGUGUUUGGAUGAAGUUCAGGAUAGGGUGAGGGUUAUUUUUAUGGUGAGGGCUAGGGUUUGGGUUUGUGUGCAGGUUAGUGUUAAGGAUAGGUUUAGGGUUCGGUGAGGGUUAGGCGUUAUGUCUAGGGUCAGCGUUAGGUUAGGUUUAGGGUUAGUGUGAAGUUUAGGUUAAGGGUGAGGGUUAUGGUAAGGGUUAGGAUUAUAGACGGUGUUAGACGUUAGGUUUAGGGUGUUAGGGUUAGGUUUAUGGUUAGGGUAGAUUUAAGUUUAGGUUUAAUAUUAGGGUUAGGGUUAGAUUUGGGUUACUGUUCGUAUUAGGGUUAGGGUUAGGGAUAAGUUUGGGGAUAGCGUUAGGUUUAGGGUUGGGGAUACGGUUAAGGAUUAGGGUGAGGGUUAGGGUUAGGUUUACAGUUAAGGCGAGGGUUUAGGGUAAUUGUUAUGGUUAGGGUUAGAGUUAGAGUUAGGCUUAGGGUUAGGGUGAAGUUUCAGUUAAUAGUCAGGGUUAGGCUUAAGGUUAGAGUAGGGUUAAGGUUAGUGUUCGGGUUAGGUAUAGCGUUAGGGUUUGGGUAGGGGUAAGGUUAGGGUUAAGGCUAGGUUUACGGUAAAGGGUAGGGCUAGCUUAGGGUUAGAUUUAGAGUUGGAGUUAGUGCUAGGGUUUAGGAUGAUGGUUAUGGUCAGGUUUAGAGUUGUUGUUAGGGUUAGGGUAGAGUUAAGGUUAGGGUUAAUUUAGGGUUAGAGAAAGGGUUAGGUUUAGGUCUGGGUUAGGUGUAGGAUGCGGGGUAGGGUCAGGGUUAGGGGUUCAUGGGAGGGUUAGUGUUAAGUUUACAUUAAGCUGAUGUUUUAGGGUGUUACUGUUAGGGCUAGGGUUAGCAUUAGGUUUAGGGUCAGGGCUAGAGUUAGGGGAUAGUUAAGGGUUAGCUUUACUUUCAGGGUUAGGGUUAGCCUUAGGUUUAGGGUGAAGUUUAGGUUAAGGAUGAGGGUUAGGGUUAGGGUUAGGCAUUUGGGUUAAGGUUAGGGUUAGGUUUAGGAUUAGGCUUAGGGUUAGGGUUAGGUGUUUGGGUUAAUGUUAGGGUCAGGUUUAGGGUUCGGCUUAGGGUUAGGGCUACAGCUGGGGUAAAGUUUAAUUGAAGGGUGAGGGUUGAGCUUAGGGUUAGCGUUAGGGGUUAGGGUUAGAGCUUAGGUUAGGAUUAAGUGUAGGGUUAAGGUUAGGUUUAGAUUUAGGGUUAGGGUUAGUGUUAGGGUUAAGUCAUGUUUAGGUUUAGGGCUAGGUGAAGGUUAUAGAUAGGGUUAGGUUAAGGGUUGAGGUUAGGUUUAGAUGGUAAGAUGAGGGUUAGUGCUAGGUUUCCAUUGAAGCUGAGUGUGUAGGGUAAGUUUUAGGGUUAGGAUUAGGGUUAGAGUUAGGGUUAGGGUCAGGGUUAGUUUUGAGUUUAGAGUUAGGGUUACGUUUAUGGUACGGUCAGGGUUAGGGGAGAUUUAGUGUUACGUUUAGUUUUAGGGCUAGGGUUACAGAGAAGUUUAUGUGAAGCGAGAGGGUUGGGGUUAGGGGUUUGGGUUCAGGUCAGAGUCAGGGUUAGGGUUAGGUUUAGGGUUAGGGUUACGUGUAGUGUUAGUGUUAGUUUUGCUUAGGGUUCGGGUUUGAAUGAAGUUAGGGUACGCUUAGCGUUAUGCUUUAGGGUGAAAUUCUGGUUAAGGGUGAGGGUUCGGCUUAGGGUUAGGGUUAGAGUUAGUGUCAGUGGUUAGGGUUCGGUUUAGGGUUAAGGUUAGUUUUAGGCUAAGGAUUAGGAUUCGAGUUAGGGUUAAGGGUUACUGUUUCAGUUAGGUUUAGGUUAAGGUUAUAAUUAGGGUUAAGUUUAGGGUUAGGGUAAGAGUUAGAGUUACAUUUACAGUAAAGGUGAGGGUUCUGGGUAAGUGUUACCGUUCAGGUUAGGGUUAGGGCUAGGGUUAGGGUUAGAGUUAAGGUUAAGGGUUAGGGUUAGGUUUAAGUUUAUGGUAGGCUUAAAGAUAGGGUUAAGGUUAGGUUAGGGUUAGGGUCAGGGUUAGAAUUAGAAUUAGGUUUAGGGCGAGGAUUAGGGUCAGAGUUAUUGUAAGGGUUAGGUUUCGGGUUACAGGUGGGCCAAGGUUAAGGUGAGGGUUAGGUUUAUGGGGAGGGUUAGGGUUAAAGUCAGGGUGAGUUUUAGGUUAGGGAUAGGGUGAAGUUUAAGACAGGGUGAGGGUUAGGGUUAUGGCUAAGGUUUGGGCUUGUUUUCAGGUUAGUGUUAAGGUUAUGUUCAGGGUUAAGGUUACGUUCAGGGGUUGUGUUCAGUUUUAGGGUUAGGGUUAGAUUUAAGGUUAGGGUUAAGUUUAGUGUUACGUUUAGGGUUAGGGUCAUGGUUGUGUUAGGCUUUGUGGUUGGGGUGAGGAUUAGUUUUAGGGUUAGGGUUGGUUAGGGUUAGGAUUACCAUUAUGAUAAGGCGUUAGGAGUUAGAGAUGUAGUUUAGGGUUAGGGUUUGGGUGAGGGUUCCGGUUAGGCCUUGCGGUUCUGGUCAUGGUUAGGUUUGGUUUAGGCUUAGGGUUAGGUGCAUGAUUCGGUUUCGGGUUAGUGUUAGAGUUAGGGUGAGAGUUAGUGUUAAGGUUUUUGCUAGGCUUUGGUGUUAGGGUUAGGGUUUGUGUUAGGGUUAGGUUUAUCAUUAGGGCUCAGGGGUUUCAGGUUAAUGUUAGGGUUAGGGUUAGGGAUAGCAUUAGGGUUAGGGUUGUGGGAUACGGUUAGGAUUUAGGGUGCGGGUUACGGUUAGUUUUCCAGUUAAGGUGAGGGUUUAGGGUAAUUGUUACGAUUAGGGUUAUAGUCAGAGUUAGGGUUUGGUUUAGGAUUAGGGUUAGGUGUAGGGUAAGAAUUAGGUUUAGGUCCAUGUUGAGGGUUAGACUUAGUGUUCUAUUUAGGGUAAAGGUUAGGGGUAGGGUUAGGAUUAGGUCUAGGGUUAGGAUUAGGAUUAUUUUAGGGUUAGGUUCAGGGCUAUUGUAAGUGUUCGGUUUAGGGUUACAGAUGGACUAGCGUUAUUCUUAGAGUUAGGUUUAAGGUUAGGGUUUGGGUUAGGUCUAGGUUUAGGGUUAAGGUUAUGGUUAGUGUUUGGAUGAAGUUCAGGAUAGGGUGAGGGUUAUUUUUAUGGUGAGGGCUAGGGUUUGGGUUUGUGUGCAGGUUAGUGUUAAGGAUAGGUUUAGGGUUCGGUGAGGGUUAGGCGUUAUGUCUAGGGUCAGCGUUAGGUUAGGUUUAGGGUUAGUGUGAAGUUUAGGUUAAGGGUGAGGGUUAUGGUAAGGGUUAGGAUUAUAGACGGUGUUAGACGUUAGGUUUAGGGUGUUAGGGUUAGGUUUAUGGUUAGGGUAGAUUUAAGUUUAGGUUUAAUAUUAGGGUUAGGGUUAGAUUUGGGUUACUGUUCGUAUUAGGGUUAGGGUUAGGGAUAAGUUUGGGGAUAGCGUCAGGUUUAGGGUUGGGGAUACGGUUAAGGAUUAGGGUGAGGGUUAGGGUUAGGUUUACAGUUAAGACGAGGGUUUAGGGUAAUUGUUAUGGUUAGGGUUAGAGUUAGAGUUAGGCUUAGGGUUAGGGUGAAGUUUCAGUUAAUAGUCAGGGUUAGGCUUAAGGUUAGAGUAGGGUUAAGGUUAGUGUUCGGGUUAGGUAUAGCGUUAGGGUUUGGGUAGGGGUAAGGUUAGGGUUAAGGCUAGGUUUACGGUAAAGGGUAGGGCUAGCUUAGGGUUAGAUUUAGAGUUGGAGUUAGUGCUAGGGUUUAGGAUGAUGGUUAUGGUCAGGUUUAGAGUUGUUGUUAGGGUUAGGGUAGAGUUAAGGUUAGGGUUAAUUUAGGGUUAGAGAAAGGGUUAGGUUUAGGUCUGGGUUAGGUGUAGGAUGCGGGGUAGGGUCAGGGUUAGGGGUUCAUGGGAGGGUUAGUGUUAAGUUUACAUUAAGCUGAUGUUUUAGGGUGUUACUGUUAGGGCUAGGGUUAGCAUUAGGUUUAGGGUCAGGGCUAGAGUUAGGGGAUAGUUAAGGGUUAGCUUUACUUUCAGGGUUAGGGUUAGCCUUAGGUUUAGGGUGAAGUUUAGGUUAAGGAUGAGGGUUAGGGUUAGGGUUAGGCAUUUGGGUUAAGGUUAGGGUUAGGUUUAGGAUUAGGCUUAGGGUUAGGGUUAGGUGUUUGGGUUAAUGUUAGGGUCAGGUUUAGGGUUCGGCUUAGGGUUAGGGCUACAGCUGGGGUAAAGUUUAAUUGAAGGGUGAGGGUUGAGCUUAGGGUUAGCGUUAGGGGUUAGGGUUAGAGCUUAGGUUAGGAUUAAGUGUAGGGUUAAGGUUAGGUUUAGAUUUAGGGUUAGGGUUAGUGUUAGGGUUAAGUCAUGUUUAGGUUUAGGGCUAGGUGAAGGUUAUAGAUAGGGUUAGGUUAAGGGUUGAGGUUAGGUUUAGGUGGUAAGAUGAGGGUUAGUGCUAGGUUUCCAUUGAAGCUGAGUGUGUAGGGUAAGUUUUAGGGUUAGGAUUAGGGUUAGAGUUAGAGUUAGGGUCAGGGUUAGUUUUGAGUUUAGAGUUAGGGUUACGUUUAUGGUACGGUCAGGGUUAGGGGAGAUUUAGUGUUACGUUUAGUUUUAGGGCUAGGGUUACAGAGAAGUUUAUGUGAAGCGAGAGGGUUGGGGUUAGGGGUUUGGGUUCAGGUCAGAGUCAGGGUUAGGGUUAGGUUUAGGGUUAGGGUUACGUGUAGUGUUAGUGUUAGUUUUGCUUAGGGUUCGGGUUUGAAUGAAGUUAGGGUACGCUUAGCGUUAUGCUUUAGGGUGAAAUUCUGGUUAAGGGUGAGGGUUCGGCUUAGGGUUAGGGUUAGAGUUAGGGUCAGUGGUUAGGGUUAGGUUUAGGGUUAAGGUUAGUUUUAGGCUAAGGAUUAGGAUUAGAGUUAGGGUUAAGAGUUACUGUUUCAGUUAGGUUUAGGUUAAGGUUAUAAUUAGGGUUAAGUUUAGGGUUAGGGUAAGAGUUAGAGUUACAUUUACAGUUAAGGUGAGGGUUCUGGGUAAGUGUUACCGUUCAGGUUAGGGUUAGGGCUAGGGUUAGGGUUAGAGUUAAGGUUAAGGGUUAGGGUUAGGUUUAAGUUUAUGGUAGGCUUAAAGAUAGGGUUAAGGUUAGGUUAGGGUUAGGGUCAGGGUUAGAAUUAGAAUUAGGUUUAGGGCGAGGAUUAGGGUCAGAGUUAUUGUAAGGGUUAGGUUUCGGGUUACAGGUGGGCCAAGGUUAAGGUGAGGGUUAGGUUUAUGGGGAGGGUUAGGGUUAAAGUCAGGGUGAGUUUUAGGUUAGGGAUAGGGUGAAGUUUAAGACAGAGUGAGGGUUAGGGUUAUGGCUAAGGUUUGGGCUUGUUUUCAGGUUAGUGUUAAGGUUAUGUUCAGGGUUAGGGUUACGUUCAGGGGUUGUGUUCAGUUUUAGGGUUAGGGUUAGAUUUAAGGUUAGGGUUAAGUUUAGUGUUACGUUUAGGGUUAGGGUCAUGGUUGUGUUAGGCUUUGUGGUUGGGGUGAGGGUGAGUUUUAGGGUUAGGGUUGGUUAGGGUUAGGAUUACCGUUAUGAUAAGGCGUUAGGGGUUAGAGGUGUAGUUUAGGGUUAGGGUUUGGGUGAGGGUUCCGGUUAGGCCUUGCGGUUCUGGUCAUGGUUAGGUUUGGUUUAGGCUUAGGGUUAGGUGCAUGAUUCGGUUUCGGGUUAGUGUUAGAGUUAGGGUGAGAGUUAGUGUUAAGGUUUUUGCUAGGCUUUGGUGUUAGGGUUAGGGUUUGUGUUAGGGUUAGGUUUAUCAUUAGGGCUCAGGGGUUUCAGGUUAAUGUUAGGGUUAGGGUUAGGGAUAGCAUUAGGGUUAGGGUUGUGGGAUACGGUUAGGAUUUAGGGUGCGGGUUACGGUUAGUUUUCCAGUUAAGGUGAGGGUUUAGGGUAAUUGUUACGAUUAGGGUUAUAGUCAGAGUUAGGGUUUGGUUUAGGAUUAGGGUUAGGUGUAGGGUAAGAAUUAGGUUUAGGUCCAUGUUGAGGGUUAGACUUAGUGUUCUAUUUAGGGUAAAGGUUAGGGGUAGGGUUAGGAUUAGGUCUAGGGUUAGGAUUAGGAUUAUUUUAGGGUUAGGUUCAGGGCUAUUGUAAGUGUUCGGUUUAGGGUUACAGAUGGACUAGCGUUAUUCUUAGAGUUAGGUUUAAGGUUAGGGUUUGGGUUAGGUCUAGGUUUAGGGUUAAGGUUAUGGUUAGUGUUUGGAUGAAGUUCAGGAUAGGGUGAGGGUUAUUUUUAUGGUGAGGGCUAGGGUUUGGGUUUGUGUGCAGGUUAGUGUUAAGGAUAGGUUUAGGGUUCGGUGAGGGUUAGGCGUUAUGUCUAGGGUCAGCGUUAGGUUAGGUUUAGGGUUAGUGUGAAGUUUAGGUUAAGGGUGAGGGUUAUGGUAAGGGUUAGGAUUAUAGACGGUGUUAGACGUUAGGUUUAGGGUGUUAGGGUUAGGUUUAUGGUUAGGGUAGAUUUAAGUUUAGGUUUAAUAUUAGGGUUAGGGUUAGAUUUGGGUUACUGUUCGUAUUAGGGUUAGGGUUAGGGAUAAGUUUGGGGAUAGCGUUAGGUUUAGGGUUGGGGAUACGGUUAAGGAUUAGGGUGAGGGUUAGGGUUAGGUUUACAGUUAAGACGAGGGUUUAGGGUAAUUGUUAUGGUUAGGGUUAGAGUUAGAGUUAGGCUUAGGGUUAGGGUGAAGUUUCAGUUAAUAGUCAGGGUUAGGCUUAAGGUUAGAGUAGGGUUAAGGUUAGUGUUCGGGUUAGGUAUAGCGUUAGGGUUUGGGUAGGGGUAAGGUUAGGGUUAAGGCUAGGUUUACGGUAAAGGGUAGGGCUAGCUUAGGGUUAGAUUUAGAGUUGGAGUUAGUGCUAGGGUUUAGGAUGAUGGUUAUGGUCAGGUUUAGAGUUGUUGUUAGGGUUAGGGUAGAGUUAAGGUUAGGGUUAAUUUAGGGUUAGAGAAAGGGUUAGGUUUAGGUCUGGGUUAGGUGUAGGAUGCGGGGUAGGGUCAGGGUUAGGGGUUCAUGGGAGGGUUAGUGUUAAGUUUACCUUAAGCUGAUGUUUUAGGGUGUUACUGUUAGGGCUAGGGUUAGCAUUAGGUUUAGGGUCAGGGCUAGAGUUAGGGGAUAGUUAAGGGUUAGCUUUACUUUCAGGGUUAGGGUUAGCCUUAGGUUUAGGGUGAAGUUUAGGUUAAGGAUGAGGGUUAGGGUUAGGGUUAGGCAUUUGGGUUAAGGUUAGGGUUAGGUUUAGGAUUAGGCUUAGGGUUAGGGUUAGGUGUUUGGGUUAAUGUUAGGGUCAGGUUUAGGGUUCGGCUUAGGGUUAGGGCUACAGCUGGGGUAAAGUUUAAUUGAAGGGUGAGGGUUGAGCUUAGGGUUAGCGUUAGGGGUUAGGGUUAGAGCUUGGGUUAGGAUUAAGUGUAGGGUUAAGGUUAGGUUUAGAUUUAGGGUUAGGGUUAGUGUUAGGGUUAAGUCAUGUUUAGGUUUAGGGCUAGGUGAAGGUUAUAGAUAGGGUUAGGUUAAGGGUUGAGGUUAGGUUUAGAUGGUAAGAUGAGGGUUAGUGCUAGGUUUCCAUUGAAGCUGAGUGUGUAGGGUAAGUUUUAGGGUUAGGAUUAGGGUUAGAGUUAGGGUUAGGGUCAGGGUUAGUUUUGAGUUUAGAGUUAGGGUUACGUUUAUGGUACGGUCAGGGUUAGGGGAGAUUUAGUGUUACGUUUAGUUUUAGGGCUAGGGUUACAGAGAAGUUUAUGUUAAGCGAGAGGGUUGGGGUUAGGGGUUUGGGUUCAGGUCAGAGUCAGGGUUAGGGUUAGGUUUAGGGUUAGGGUUACGUGUAUUGUUAGUGUUAGUUUUGCUUAGGGUUCGGGUUUGAAUGAAGUUAGGGUACGCUUAGCGUUAUGCUUUAGGGUGAAAUUCUGGUUAAGGGUGAGGGUUCGGCUUAGGGUUAGGGUUAGAGUUAGGGUCAGUGGUUAGGGUUAGGUUUAGGGUUAAGGUUAGUUUUAGGCUAAGGAUUAGGAUUCGAGUUAGGGUUAAGGGUUACUGUUUCAGUUAGGUUUAGGUUAAGGUUAUAAUUAGGGUUAAGUUUAGGGUUAGGGUAAGAGUUAGAGUUACAUUUACAGUUAAGGUGAGGGUUCUGGGUAAGUGUUACCGUUCAGGUUAGGGUUAGGGCUAGGGUUAGGGUUAGAGUUAAGGUUAAGGGUUAGGGUUAGGUUUAAGUUUAUGGUAGGCUUAAAGAUAGGGUUAAGGUUAGGUUAGGGUUAGGGUCAGGGUUAGAAUUAGAAUUAGGUUUAGGGCGAGGAUUAGGGUCAGAGUUAUUGUAAGGGUUAGGUUUCGGGUUACAGGUGGGCCAAGGUUAAGGUGAGGGUUAGGUUUAUGGGGAGGGUUAGGGUUAAAGUCAGGGUGAGUUUUAGGUUAGGGAUAGGGUGAAGUUUAAGACAGGGUGAGGGUUAGGGUUAUGGCUAAGGUUUGGGCUUGUUUUCAGGUUAGUGUUAAGGUUAUGUUCAGGGUUAGGGUUACGUUCAGGGGUUGUGUUCAGUUUUAGGGUUAGGGUUAGAUUUAAGGUUAGGGUUAAGUUUAGUGUUACGUUUAGGGUUAGGGUCAUGGUUGUGUUAGGCUUUGUGGUUGGGGUGAGGGUUAGUUUUAGGGUUAGGGUUGGUUAGGGUUAGGAUUACCGUUAUGAUAAGGCGUUAGGGGUUAGAGGUGUAGUUUAGGGUUAGGGUUUGGGUGAGGGUUCCGGUUAGGCCUUGCGGUUCUGGUCAUGGUUAGGUUUGGUUUAGGCUUAGGGUUAGGUGCAUGAUUCGGUUUCGGGUUAGUGUUAGAGUUAGGGUGAGAGUUAGUGUUAAGGUUUUUGCUAGGCUUUGGUGUUAGGGUUAGGGUUUGUGUUAGGGUUAGGUUUAUCAUUAGGGCUCAGGGGUUUCAGGUUAAUGUUAGGGUUAGGGUUAGGGAUAGCAUUAGGGUUAGGGUUGUGGGAUACGGUUAGGAUUUAGGGUGCGGGUUACGGUUAGUUUUCCAGUUAAGGUGAGGGUUUAGGGUAAUUGUUACGAUUAGGGUUAUAGUCAGAGUUAGGGUUUGGUUUAGGAUUAGGGUUAGGUGUAGGGUAAGAAUUAGGUUUAGGUCCACGUUGAGGGUUAGACUUAGUGUUCUAUUUAGGGUAAAGGUUAGGGGUAGGGUUAGGAUUAGGUCUAGGGUUAGGAUUAGGAUUAUUUUAGGGUUAGGUUCAGGGCUAUUGUAAGUGUUCGGUUUAGGGUUACAGAUGGACUAGCGUUAUUCUUAGAGUUAGGUUUAAGGUUAGGGUUUGGGUUAGGUCUAGGUUUAGGGUUAAGGUUAUGGUUAGUGUUUGGAUGAAGUUCAGGAUAGGGUGAGGGUUAUUUUUAUGGUGAGGGCUAGGGUUUGGGUUUGUGUGCAGGUUAGUGUUAAGGAUAGGUUUAGGGUUCGGUGAGGGUUAGGCGUUAUGUCUAGGGUCAGCGUUAGGUUAGGUUUAGGGUUAGUGUGAAGUUUAGGUUAAGGGUGAGGGUUAUGGUAAGGGUUAGGAUUAUAGACGGUGUUAGACGUUAGGUUUAGGGUGUUAGGGUUAGGUUUAUGGUUAGGGUAGAUUUAAGUUUAGGUUUAAUAUUAGGGUUAGGGUUAGAUUUGGGUUACUGUUCGUAUUAGGGUUAGGGUUAGGGAUAAGUUUGGGGAUAGCGUUAGGUUUAGGGUUGGGGAUACGGUUAAGGAUUAGGGUGAGGGUUAGGGUUAGGUUUACAGUUAAGACGAGGGUUUAGGGUAAUUGUUAUGGUUAGGGUUAGAGUUAGAGUUAGGCUUAGGGUUAGGGUGAAGUUUCAGUUAAUAGUCAGGGUUAGGCUUAAGGUUAGAGUAGGGUUAAGGUUAGUGUUCGGGUUAGGUAUAGCGUUAGGGUUUGGGUAGGGGUAAGGUUAGGGUUAAGGCUAGGUUUACGGUAAAGGGUAGGGCUAGCUUAGGGUUAGAUUUAGAGUUGGAGUUAGUGCUAGGGUUUAGGAUGAUGGUUAUGGUCAGGUUUAGAGUUGUUGUUAGGGUUAGGGUAGAGUUAAGGUUAGGGUUAAUUUAGGGUUAGAGAAAGGGUUAGGUUUAGGUCUGGGUUAGGUGUAGGAUGCGGGGUAGGGUCAGGGUUAGGGGUUCAUGGGAGGGUUAGUGUUAAGUUUACCUUAAGCUGAUGUUUUAGGGUGUUACUGUUAGGGCUAGGGUUAGCAUUAGGUUUAGGGUCAGGGCUAGAGUUAGGGGAUAGUUAAGGGUUAGCUUUACUUUCAGGGUUAGGGUUAGCCUUAGGUUUAGGGUGAAGUUUAGGUUAAGGAUGAGGGUUAGGGUUAGGGUUAGGCAUUUGGGUUAAGGUUAGGGUUAGGUUUAGGAUUAGGCUUAGGGUUAGGGUUAGGUGUUUGGGUUAAUGUUAGGGUCAGGUUUAGGGUUCGGCUUAGGGUUAGGGCUACAGCUGGGGUAAAGUUUAAUUGAAGGGUGAGGGUUGAGCUUAGGGUUAGCGUUAGGGGUUAGGGUUAGAGCUUGGGUUAGGAUUAAGUGUAGGGUUAAGGUUAGGUUUAGAUUUAGGGUUAGGGUUAGUGUUAGGGUUAAGUCAUGUUUAGGUUUAGGGCUAGGUGAAGGUUAUAGAUAGGGUUAGGUUAAGGGUUGAGGUUAGGUUUAGAUGGUAAGAUGAGGGUUAGUGCUAGGUUUCCAUUGAAGCUGAGUGUGUAGGGUAAGUUUUAGGGUUAGGAUUAGGGUUAGAGUUAGGGUUAGGGUCAGGGUUAGUUUUGAGUUUAGAGUUAGGGUUACGUUUAUGGUACGGUCAGGGUUAGGGGAGAUUUAGUGUUACGUUUAGUUUUAGGGCUAGGGUUACAGAGAAGUUUAUGUUAAGCGAGAGGGUUGGGGUUAGGGGUUUGGGUUCAGGUCAGAGUCAGGGUUAGGGUUAGGUUUAGGGUUAGGGUUACGUGUAUUGUUAGUGUUAGUUUUGCUUAGGGUUCGGGUUUGAAUGAAGUUAGGGUACGCUUAGCGUUAUGCUUUAGGGUGAAAUUCUGGUUAAGGGUGAGGGUUCGGCUUAGGGUUAGGGUUAGAGUUAGGGUCAGUGGUUAGGGUUAGGUUUAGGGUUAAGGUUAGUUUUAGGCUAAGGAUUAGGAUUCGAGUUAGGGUUAAGGGUUACUGUUUCAGUUAGGUUUAGGUUAAGGUUAUAAUUAGGGUUAAGUUUAGGGUUAGGGUAAGAGUUAGAGUUACAUUUACAGUUAAGGUGAGGGUUCUGGGUAAGUGUUACCGUUCAGGUUAGGGUUAGGGCUAGGGUUAGGGUUAGAGUUAAGGUUAAGGGUUAGGGUUAGGUUUAAGUUUAUGGUAGGCUUAAAGAUAGGGUUAAGGUUAGGUUAGGGUUAGGGUCAGGGUUAGAAUUAGAAUUAGGUUUAGGGCGAGGAUUAGGGUCAGAGUUAUUGUAAGGGUUAGGUUUCGGGUUACAGGUGGGCCAAGGUUAAGGUGAGGGUUAGGUUUAUGGGGAGGGUUAGGGUUAAAGUCAGGGUGAGUUUUAGGUUAGGGAUAGGGUGAAGUUUAAGACAGGGUGAGGGUUAGGGUUAUGGCUAAGGUUUGGGCUUGUUUUCAGGUUAGUGUUAAGGUUAUGUUCAGGGUUAGGGUUACGUUCAGGGGUUGUGUUCAGUUUUAGGGUUAGGGUUAGAUUUAAGGUUAGGGUUAAGUUUAGUGUUACGUUUAGGGUUAGGGUCAUGGUUGUGUUAGGCUUUGUGGUUGGGGUGAGGGUUAGUUUUAGGGUUAGGGUUGGUUAGGGUUAGGAUUACCGUUAUGAUAAGGCGUUAGGGGUUAGAGGUGUAGUUUAGGGUUAGGGUUUGGGUGAGGGUUCCGGUUAGGCCUUGCGGUUCUGGUCAUGGUUAGGUUUGGUUUAGGCUUAGGGUUAGGUGCAUGAUUCGGUUUCGGGUUAGUGUUAGAGUUAGGGUGAGAGUUAGUGUUAAGGUUUUUGCUAGGCUUUGGUGUUAGGGUUAGGGUUUGUGUUAGGGUUAGGUUUAUCAUUAGGGCUCAGGGGUUUCAGGUUAAUGUUAGGGUUAGGGUUAGGGAUAGCAUUAGGGUUAGGGUUGUGGGAUACGGUUAGGAUUUAGGGUGCGGGUUACGGUUAGUUUUCCAGUUAAGGUGAGGGUUUAGGGUAAUUGUUACGAUUAGGGUUAUAGUCAGAGUUAGGGUUUGGUUUAGGAUUAGGGUUAGGUGUAGGGUAAGAAUUAGGUUUAGGUCCAUGUUGAGGGUUAGACUUAGUGUUCUAUUUAGGGUAAAGGUUAGGGGUAGGGUUAGGAUUAGGUCUAGGGUUAGGAUUAGGAUUAUUUUAGGGUUAGGUUCAGGGCUAUUGUAAGUGUUCGGUUUAGGGUUACAGAUGGACUAGCGUUAUUCUUAGAGUUAGGUUUAAGGUUAGGGUUUGGGUUAGGUCUAGGUUUAGGGUUAAGGUUAUGGUUAGUGUUUGGAUGAA